rnacentral:rRNA from 1 species
ACGAACGCUGGCGGCGUGCUUAACACAUGCAAGUCGAACGGAAAGGCCCUGCUUUUGUGGGGUGCUCGAGUGGCGAACGGGUGAGUAACACGUGAGUAACCUGCCCUUGACUUUGGGAUAACUUCAGGAAACUAGGGCUAAUACCGGAUAGGAGCUCCUGCUGCAUGGUGGGGGUUGGAAAGUUUCGGCGGUUGGGGAUGGACUCGCGGCUUAUCAGCUUGUUGGUGGGGUAGUGGCUUACCAAGGCUUUGACGGGUAGCCGGCCUGAGAGGGUGACCGGCCACAUUGGGACUGAGAUACGGCCCAGACUCCUACGGGAGGCAGCAGUGGGGAAUAUUGCACAAUGGGCGGAAGCCUGAUGCAGCAACGCCGCGUGCGGGAUGACGGCCUUCGGGUUGUAAACCGCUUUCGCCUGUGACGAAGCGUGAGUGACGGUAAUGGGUAAAGAAGCACCGGCUAACUACGUG